UACGGAGGGGGCAAGCGUUAUCCGGAAUCACUGGGUUUAAAGCGUGCGUAGGCGGCUAGAUAAGUCAGAGGUGAAAGCUUGUCGCUUAACGAUAGAACUGCCUUUGAUACUGUUAAGCUUGAAAGUAGGUGAGGUUGGCGGAAUGCGACAUGUAGCGGUGAAAUGCAUAGAUAUGUCGUAGAACACCGAUUGCGAAGGCAGCCGGCUGACCUGACUUUGACGCUGAGGUGCGAAAGCGUGGGUAGCGAACAGG
rnacentral:rRNA from 1 species